AUUGAACGCUGGCGGCAGGCUUAACACAUGCAAGUCGAGCGGAGUGAUGGUGCUUGCACUAUCACUUAGCGGCGGACGGGUGAAUAAUGCUUAGGAAUCUGCCUAUUAGUGGGGGACAACAUCUCGAAAGGGAUGCUAAUACCGCAUACGUCCUACGGGAGAAAGCAGGGGAUCACUUGUGACCUUGCGCUAAUAGAUGAGCCUAAGUCGGAUUAGCUAGUUGGUGGGGUAAAGGCCUACCAAGGCGACGAUCUGUAGCGGGUCUGAGAGGAUGAUCCGCCACACGGGGACUGAGACACGGCCCAGACUCCUACGGGAGGCAGCAGUGGGGAAUAUUGGACAAUGGGGGGAACCCUGAUCCAGCCAUGCCGCGUGUGUGAAGAAGGCCUUAUGGUUGUAAAGCACUUUAAGCGAGGAGGAGGCUCUUCUGGUUAAUACCCAAGAUGAGUGGACGUUACUCGCAGAAUAAGCACCGGCUAACUCUGUGCCAGCAGCCGCAGUAA
rnacentral:rRNA from 1 species